AGUAACGGCGAGUGAAGCGGCAACAGCUCAAAUUUGAAAUCUGGCCCCCCGCGGGCCCGAGUUGUACUUUGGAGAGGACGCUUCUGGCGCGGCGCCGUCCGAGUUCCCUGGAACGGGACGCCGGAGAGGGUGAGAGCCCCGUACGGGCGGCCGCCUAGCCUCUGCGAAGCUCCUUCGACGAGUCGAGUAGUUUGGGAAUGCUGCUCAAAAUGGGAGGUAAAUUUCUUCUAAAGCUAAAUACCGGCCAGAGACCGAUAGCGCACAAGUAGAGUGAUCGAAAGAUGAAAAGCACUUUGAAAAGAGGGUCAAACAGUACGUGAAAUUGUUGAAAGGGAAGCGCCUGUGGCCAGACUUGCGCCCCGCGGACCACCCGGCGCCUCGCGCGCCGGGGCACGCCAGCGGGGCGCAGGCCAGCAUCGGCUCUCUCGGGGGGACAAAGGCCGCGGGAACGUAGCGCCCUCGCGGCGUAUUAUAGCCCGCGGCGCCAUGCCCCCGGGGGGGCCGAGGACCGCGCUCCGGCAAGGAUGCUGGCGUAAUGGCCACCGGCGACCCGUCUUGAAACACGGACCAAGGAGUCAAGCAUUGGGGCGAGUGUCUGGGUGGCAAGCCCGCACGCGGAAUGAAAGUGAACGCAGGUGGGAGCUUCGGCGCACCACCGACCGAUCCUGAUGUCCUCGGAUGGAUUUGAGUAGGAGCCCCGCCGCUUGGACCCGAAAGAUGGUGAACUAUGCCUGUAUAGGGUGAAGCCAGAGGAAACUCUGGUGGAGGCCCGCAGCGGUUCUGACGUGCAAAUCGAUCGUCAAAUAUGGGCAUG
rnacentral:rRNA from 1 species